rnacentral:rRNA from 1 species
AUGGAAAAGGAAAAGGCUAAUUGGGAUGCACAUCACAUAACCAUUUUCUGUGAGAUAUGCAAGGACAAGUUCAAUGCAGGAAAUAGGCCAAAGGGAUGUUUGAACUGUAGAGGGUACAAACGUCUUGAAGAUAAGUUCUUUGAGAGGUCGAAAAAGAUGUUCGCACGAUCAAUUUAAAAAAAAUGGGACAUGUCGAAGAGACAAUAUAUACAAUUCAUGUUAUUGAAAAAUGCGGCAACUGGGCUAGGUUGGGAUGAUGUGAAGAAAACCAUUGCAGUUGAUGAUGAUUGGUGGAAGAUACAUCUUAAAGUAUGUACUAUCAUUUAUUUGGUAGCAUCGUUUGUUUGUGGAAUUGCUAACUCUUAUGCUACAUUUCAGAAAAAAAAACCAAGCAUUCAAAGUACAAGAAGAAGGGGCUCACCAACUUGUAAGAAAUGCAUGUCAUGUUCACUAACGCACAUGUCAUCGGGGCUACAUCAUCUAUUCUUGGGGAGAUGUCGGACAUCACAAAUGAUGAUGAUAUGCUAG